UGCAUACGGGUAUAAACCCCCCCGUAUCAUGGGAAAGUGCAUAAACUGUUUUCAUGUAUUCUUUUCAUAGACAUGCUCAUAAAUAACAUGCAACCAUAAUUGCCAUAGUCUUUUUCUCAAAUAUCAAAAUCAUUAAAGCAUCAUAAAAGUCAUCAUGUCAAUAAAUUCCACCAUAAUCAUAAAACAUCAACAAAACAUCAAAACUCAUCAUCAAUCACUCAUCAAAUCAUCAUAAAUUCUCAAGAAGAUAGUCAAAAGCACAAACCAUAUAUUGUCACAAGAUAUCAUCGGUUCGUCUUUUAAAACCUUAUAUUGUUUCUUCAAAAUCUCAUAAAAAUAUUUAUUUUGUUUAGCAAGUACUACAUCUGCUAAACAUUGAAAACAAAGCAUGAAAACACUUUAAGGGGUGUAUCACUCUCAGUAAGUAUAAAUACUUACCUUUUUUUCCGCUUGAUGCAUUGACAAUCUCGAGAACUCACUCUCAUUUGCUUUCUUGGAAUCAUUCUCGAUCCAACUAUCGCAUACUAUGCAUUGGAGGACUAGAUUUAGCCCUAAGCCUCCAAUUCCAUAUUAUGUGCCU
rnacentral:lncRNA from 1 species